UACGGGAGGUGCAAGCGUUGUUCGGAGUUACUGGGCGUAAAGCGCACGUAGGUGGGCUUGUAAGUCGGAUGUGAAAGCCCCGGGCUUAACCUGGGAACUGCAUUUGAUACUCUGGAGCUUGAGUACGGGAGGGGAUAGUGGAAUUCCCAGUGUAGAGGUGAAAUUCGUAGAUAUUCGGCGGAACACCAGUGGCGAAGGCGACUCACUGGCCCGAUACUGACGCUGAGGCGCGAAAGCGUGGGGAGCAAACAGG
rnacentral:rRNA from 1 species